rnacentral:rRNA from 1 species
GGUCAAGUGAAGAAGCGCAUACGGUGGAUGCCUUGGCAGUCAGAGGCGAUGAAAGACGUGGUAGCCUGCGAUAAGCUUCGGGGAGUCGGCAAACAGACUUUGAUCCGGAGAUCUCUGAAUGGGGAAACCCACCUAGCAUAAGCUGGGUAUCUUGCACUGAAUACAUAGGUGUAAGAGGCGAACCAGGGGAACUGAAACAUCUAAGUACCCUGAGGAAAAGAAAUCAACCGAGAUUCCCUUAGUAGUGGCGAGCGAACGGGGAUUAGCCCUUAAGCUUCUUUGAAUCUAACAGAACGCUCUGGAAAGUGCGGCCAUAGUGGGUGAUAGCCCCGUAUGUGAAAGGUUCUUUGAAGUGAAAUCGAGUAGGACGGAGCACGAGAAACUUUGUCUGAAUAUGGGGGGACCAUCCUCCAAGGCUAAAUACUACUG